AUGGAGAAAAUAGGUCAGUCCGGUCGGGGUGCAAUGAGUCAGCCAUUAAAGGCAGAGCUGUUCCCAGCUCCCAGCUCAGUGUUACACGUUAUCGACGAGAUUAAGGUCAGCGUGGCUUCUCCAAGCUCCUCGUGCUGCCAGGAGGUGAGGAUUCUGCUCACGAAGCAAAGGUCUUUGGAAACCCAGAAAGCACACCAAGGACUGGAAGAACUCAUUGAUAGCAGACCUGCAGUGAAGAACUUGGGGAUCCUGGUGGAUGAAAAGGUGGACGUGAGCCUGCAGUGUGCUCUUGCAGCCUGGAGGGCCAAUAUUAUCCUGGGCUGCAUCAACAGAGAGGUGGCAGCAGGCAGGGUGGGUUGUUACACACCUCAGGUCCCAGGAGUCAGACCGGCUCCUCAUCCGGUGUCACUUAGAAGCUUGACUCCUUUGUUGCUUUGUUGACUUUAGUUUUCAUACCUGCAGGAAGCUGACACAACCGUUGGAUUUAGCACAACAAAAAAAGGUGGGGCGAGUACGUGGCACUGCUUAUUGAUUGAUCUUGAGCUGUUUUACUGUGACAUAAUACCAGUAGAGAAGCAGAGAAAUCGUGCUGCAGUCAGUG
rnacentral:lncRNA from 1 species